UGAAAUUAUUGGUCUAUUUCUUGAAC
rnacentral:piRNA from 1 species